UCGAUGAUGAUAAAUGAGAUGUGGCACUAUCCACUCGCCGUAGGCCGGAUACACAAACAAACACACGGUUCCUGUGUCCCGUUGCUAACUUACAGCUAGCUUAUGCUAACGUCAGUACAGUUGGUACUUUGGCUGUUUGGGGCGAACAAACAAACGACCCUGCGGUCACAUUCACCGGAAUGAUGCUAGGAGAAAAGUAUGGAUCGCCUUGAGAGGGAAUAUGGCGUUUUAUAUUGGUUUUGUUUGUGUUUCUGCAAAUAGACGGUUGCAGGUGGACUGGUGUUUACAUGGUCUGUGGAGCUGAAAGUCUGCAGCUAUGCAGCCUCAGUGGAUGCCAUCUGGAAGAAGAAGAACUUUCUCCAGACGAGCUGAAGGGACAUCUUCUCUGAGCUGAAGCUCUGAGAGGCAGGAAUGAGCCUCCCCUACCGCUGAGCUCAAGAUGAGUGGUGGGUUUGAUCUGCAUCCGGCUGUUGGCCGUCUACAUGCACACUCAAUGCUCACUAGUAUUGUUAAAUACCCCCAUGGGUUGUCAAGAGUGUUGUAAUGGUAUCCAACUGUGACUAUGGCUGACAAUAGUUAAUGUUUUCAUUAUCCUUUCAAGUUAUGAUUAAUUGUUUAACUUAAUUGUCACUUAAGUAGUUGAUUAAUUGGUGAGUCAUCUUAGCUUCAAAUGUGCCUUUUUAGAGACAUAAAUCACACAUAAUCUUUGGGUUUUUUUCUGUCACCGCACAUCGUCACACAUCAUCAUUAAUGCCAGCAGUCACAUUUAUACUUGGAAUAAUAAAUGCAAAAAAUGUCACUGUCCCUUCUUUGUGUUGUUUACGUAUUUGCCUCUGUGCCUAGAUAUACAUGCAUUUCUCCUUAAACCAGAUUUCUAUGGGGCUUUGGGAAGCUCCGAUGUCGUUAUUUUGCUCCAUGGCUUCCCCACCUCCAGCUUCGACUGGAACAAGAUCUGAGAGCCACCCACUCAGCGCUUCCAUCGAGUCAUUGCACUGGAC